AACAAACGCUGGCGGCGUGCCUAAUACAUGCAAGUCGAACGGGGAAAGCUUUCGGGUGAGUACUAGUGGCGCACGGGUGAGUAACGCGUGGAUAAUCUGCCUUAGAGUGGGGGAUAACUAGUCGAAAGAUUAGCUAAUACCGCAUAAGACCACAAGAACUGCGGUUCAAGAGGUCAAAGGUUUUUCGCUCUAAGAUGAGUCCGCGUAAGAUUAGCUAGUUGGUGAGGUAACGGCUCACCAAGGCAACGAUCUUUAACUGGUCUGAGAGGAUGAUCAGUCACACUGGAACUGAGACACGGUCCAGACUCCUACGGGAGGCAGCAGUAGGGAAUAUUGCACAAUGGAGGAAACUCUGAUGCAGCGACGCCGCGUGAGUGAUGAAGGCCUUCGGGUCGUAAAGCUCUGUCGCAGGGGAAUAACACAAUGAAUGUACUGUAAGAAUAAGGAUCGGCUAACUUCGUGCCAGCCGCCGCCGUAAUAC
rnacentral:rRNA from 1 species